rnacentral:rRNA from 1 species
AGCGAACGCUGGCGGCAGGCCUAACACAUGCAAGUCGAACGAAGUCUUCGGACUUAGUGGCGGACGGGUGAGUAACACGUGGGAACGUGCCUUUAGGUUCGGAAUAACUCAGGGAAACUUGUUCUAAUACCGAAUGUGCCCUUCGGGGGAAAGAUUUAUCGCCUUUAGAGCGGCCCGCGUCUGAUUUGCUCGUUAGUAGGGGAAAGGCUCACCAAGGCGACGAUCAGUAGCUGGUCUGAGAGGAUGAUCAGCCACAUUGGGACUGAGACACGGCCCAAACUCCUACGGGAGGCGGCAGUGGGGAAUCUUGCGCAAUGGGCGAAAGCCUGACGCAGCCAUGCCGCGUGAAUGAUGAAGGUCUUAGGAUUGUAAAAUUCUUUUACCGGGGACGAUAAUGACGGUACCCGGAGAGGAAGCCCCGGCUAACUUCGUGCCAGCCGCCGCGGUAAAAC